rnacentral:miRNA from 1 species
GGGGCCUGGGAGGGGGGGGGGUGUGUGUGUGUGUGUGUGUGUGUGUGUGUGUGUGGGGCUGCCAGGCAGAGCUGCACAAACUGCAGAGGCC